UACGUAGGGGGCGAGCGUUGUCCGGAUUCAUUGGGCGUAAAGAGCUCGUAGGCGGCUUGUCAAGUCGGGUGUGAAACCUCCAGGCUCAACCUGGAGACGCCACUCGAGACUGUCAUGGCUAGAGUCCGGUAGGGGAUCACGGAAUUCCUGGUGUAGCGGUGAAAUGCGCAGAUAUCCGGAGGAACACCGGUGGCGAAGGCGGCUUCCUGGACCGACACUGACGCUGAGGCGCGAAAGCUAGGGGAGCAAACGGG
rnacentral:rRNA from 1 species